rnacentral:SRP_RNA from 1 species
GCAGUAGGUAGGAUUGGGGUGCUAGCCGUGCCCCGUUCUGAAACCGGCUACACGCAGAGAUCAGAAACUGUUGGGUAAAUCUUCAGACUGAUAAUUCCCGCUUGGCGUGCGGAAAUGAAAUCACGCCGGGGCGGGUGGUUGCAGGACUGGAAUUAUCCGAAGGGAUGAGUUCCAAGACCGAACCAUUGAAAGGGGCGAGGUCCGGGAGGGAGCAGUCCUAAGAUGGGGCAUCCACGCUUCCCCGUCAACGUGGCGGAUCUUGUAUGCCUUGAGAUGGGGUUACCGGUCUGAAUUGGAGCCAACAGAUCUACUGC